rnacentral:lncRNA from 1 species
UUUAUUUUUUUGUAUUCAAAUGAAGAUAUAAACCAUUUCAUAUAAUCGAAAAUAAAAAAUCUACGUACAUAAUUCCAGAUGGUCCAAAAAUGUCAUACAUAAAUAAAAUACCAAUAAAUAUAAAAAAUAUCAUACAAUCGAGACAAAUAAAGUAGUAAGAUCGUCAAAAUAAAAUACAGACCAUAGUACUACACUAUAUACUAACACACUAUUGUGUAUGUCUAACUACCUCUCAUCUGCCUCGUCUACCUCCUCGACCAUCAAUCCCCCAUCCCCUGACGUUGUCUCUGGUACAACAAUGCCCUUCAUGCCUCUGUCAUGAUGGCAUCUAGGACCUUCCUUACACCAAACCCAUCAGGGAAGAGACAUGCGUCAAUGUCUUCCUACGCAAUCUCCACUAUGUAAUGGCACCUAGGCAAGACAUCUUCAACAUGAUCUAGCUGUGUCUGCUACUCCUCUAGUAUCUCCUGAUGAACUGGUCUCGAUGGAUCUCUUGGAGUAGCAUGAACCAUGUACAAAUGUGACACCCUGAAGAACCAUAUGAUGUACCCUUCGACGUAGUUCCAAUCACUCUCAGCGAUGGUAGCCCGUGCCUCUUCCGAUACCGGAUGACUCUCAUAAUCAUCCAACAUGUCCUUUAUAUGUCUAUGUGUCAAGGCAGGAGGAGAAGAGACAACAUGAUGUCUGAGAAUGGUCUGAGUGUAGCCGAACUUCCGCAUGACACGCUCGGGCAGAUGAGGAGCAAUGAGACCCGAUUAACAUGUCAAUCAUCCAGAGUAUAGCAUUAUCUCGUAAAAUGGUCGCGUCUCACAGUGAUCAACAUAAUUGUUGAAGUGCAUGUCCUCAAUAAUCAGACGAUCAAGAUAGACUCUAUAAGGAUCGGUCGCCAGGUUCCUUCUAAAAUUUGUCAAAAAUAAUCAUUGUCAGAAAUUUUUCAAUUAAAAUUAACGUUAAAAACAUAAUGAAUCCAACUAAUCCUACCUCUCAGUCUCAGAUAUGUCUGACAAUAUGGUCUGAAUACAUAUACAAUAAUGACAAAUCAAAUGGGCCUCCUCCAAAUGCCUCUAGCUCAGCACGCGCAGCAGCCUCACCCUCAGGAGGUGGCACUAGAUCAACAACAUCAAUGGUAGGAGGGUGGACUGGAUCAACAUCAUUUAUAGUAGGAGGUGACAUUGGAUCAGCAACAUCCUAGGGGAAGAAGAAGAUGAAGUGGAAUGAGGAGAAGCACGAGCCCAAGAAAUGGAUGACUUUGCCUGACCAGAGGGACCAAGAGCCUCCGGAACCUACUUACUUUUCGCCUGCCACGCAGAUGUGUGAUGAUCAACCCUCAUGUGCCCUAAUUUAUCAUGUCUAUACGCCAUUAUGAUUGUAAGUUAAAGUAAGGUAAACCAUUAGUCCGGGAAAACAACACAAGCAAGAAAAUCAAACAAAAAAAAUUGCAGAAAAUUCAGGAGAUGCAUCUCGGUAACCUAGUAAUCUAAAACGCUGAAAAAUUCUAGAGAUGCAUCUCCGAAAUUUCCUGCAACUCAGAAGUUACAUCAAUUGUGUCAAUGUACCCCAUGCAAUGUUAAAAAAACUUAUUUUGAUCAUAAUUUUCAGCCAACAAACAUCUAAUACAAUAUGUCUAAACUAUCUUAAAUUUUAUUUCUACUCAUUUCUAACUCUAAUAAUUGAUUUCUACUCAUUUACACAAAAACUCAAAAAUUUAUCGAAAAUUUAAAAAGUUGAUGUUUCAGAUGUUGUUUCUGAUGUUAGAGAUGAUGAUUGAGUUUUAAGUUGGUGCAGAGAAAAAUCUGAGAGAGUGUUGAAGAAGUGUUUUAAGUAAAAUAUGAAGUGAUGAAGCAGAAGGGUCUGACGCGAUUUAACCUCCAAAAUGUUAUGGAGAUGCAUCUCCUAAAUCUAGGGGCAUUCAUGUAUUUUUGUGUGGUGCGUAAGAAACAUAUGGGGUGCAUUAAAAAAUUGCCCAUUUAUAAGGUAAAUAAGAUUGGGCCUUCCUAGGCCUUUAGUCUAGGCCAGAACAAUUGUCCCCAAACUUACGAUGUCGAUAGGCGUAUGAUGUAUUCAAAAUUCGGUCAGGCGACUCCAUUCCCAUAUUCUUGCAAGGAGAAGUGGAAAAGUUCUGGCAACAUCCUCAUUAAAUGCUUAUCUAAUCAUUGAAACAUUUUGUUGAAAACCUUACGCCUGGAUCUAGGUGAACAUGUUAAGGAAUGACGCAUCUAUCUACACUAUUCGAGUGCACUUAAGUGCAUUUAUUUCCCCGAGGAGGCAUUUUGGGUUGUCGGAUCAUUGUUCUGACAUUAUCCCACAAUUUUGUAAUAUUUUCCCUCUCUUUAUAUAAACUUCCUUUUGGGUUUCUUUAGAACUUUUUGGUUUCCUUCUUCUUCUUUCUACCACUCUUGUGCUUUUCUUCUUCAUUACCCCUAGGUGAUUCUUGCUUCCAUUUGCUUCUCUGCCUGCUUGAGUCUUUGCAUUGUCAUUUUUCCUUUCUCAAACAAUUUCCUUCGCUCCAUAUCCUUCCUUCAGGUACCAUUUAUUUUUGGCCCUUCUUCUCUUUUCGUUGUUUUGUUAUGGAUGACCCAUGGGUUUUCCAUUGAAUAUAAAUGGAGACUGUGGGAGGGAUUCUGCCAUAUCGUCUUCUUAUGGGAACCCUAACAUUCCAGAUAAGAAGCAACUAAAAAUUAAUGGUCUCAUUCCUAAUUUGGCCAUUCUUAGCGAUAGUUUAGGAUUGAGGGAUGUUCUGUUGAGAGUGGAGGCGGCCCUCUUAGUCCUUCUGAUGAGAAUGAGGAGGGGAACUCACACACUCUAGUUUAUAUGGAGUCUGUUGCACGUGUAACUUCUUAUGUUCAUUAUUAUGAAGAAAUGAAAACCGUUCCCUAUCAUGAGAUAAGAACCCAUUAUUUUCUGAAACGUUUUCACUACUAGUGGUAGAGAACCCAUUUAGGAGGUAAUUCGGGAACAUCUACUUUUUAGGAAUAAUUAUCCAACUUUUGAAAUACGUUUUAUUUUAUGUGAGAGUUGAAACGACAUUAUCUUUCCUUUAGCACUUCAUCAGAACCUUGAAUAUUCUUUUGACGAGGCUUGAGAUAACUCUUCAAGAUAACUUCCAUCAUCAGAUAAACCAGUUGAUCAUACAUCUUUGCUGACUUCACCUGAUUAAGUUUGACAUAAGGUAUUUUCUUCCAUAUAUAGACAUAUAACUAGAUCUCCAAGCGCCACAAUCUUGAUCACCGCAACUUGAUUACCAAGCAUAUUAAUUUGAUCAUUGCACCAGAUGAUCUUUAGACACUUCAGCUACAACGCAACUUGAUAAUCUCAACAGAUGACACUUUGAUAUUCAAGCACCAUCACUUGAUAAAGACUUCUCUUAAGAGCACUACCAACAUUAAAACUUAACAAAUCACUGCAGACAUCAUACAUGUAAGCACAUAAAUCCAAAGUUUGGGGGGAAAAUAAUUAAAUUUCAAGAACAACAUUAAAGGAUUUUAAGUAUUUGCAAGCUCGAAUAUGAUCUUAUACCUUAUUUAUUUUUUAUCUUUUUAUGAUCAUUAGUUUAAGUGUGAGUAACUCGUAAACUAUUAAAUUGAUGCGCGCGCACACACACAUACACACACACACACACACACACACACACAACACACACAACACACAAUACACAACACACAACACACACACACACAACACACACGCACACACGCAACACACACACAUACACACACACACACACACACACACACAACACACACAACACACAAUACACAACACACAACACACACACACACAACACACACGCACACACGCACACACGCACGCACGCGCACACACACACACACACACACAAAUAUAGAUUAAGAAGCCUUUUAAUUUCCCUAAUAUAGAUUAAGAAGCCUUUUAAUUGAUUAGGCUCGAGUUUUGGUAUUUUCUUCCCUAAAAGCUAUGUAAUAGUAGAUUAGCAUCGCAGGCUAAUCGUGUAGGUAACAACUUUGGCCUAAAAUUCUUUCAUUUUUUGGCCAAUUUUGUUACUAUAUAGGCAGGACCAGUGUUUACUUUAAAACAACACAAGAAAUCUGAAAUAUUACUCUUCUCGCUUACUCAGUCUCUUCUGAGAAACUUUUUAAACACUUAUAAUCCUUUUACGUUGAGAGAGAAAAAUACUUAAGUAAGAGUUAUGCUUGUGUAAUUGACAUUUGAAUCAAAUUGAGUUAUAAUUUUAAAUCAAGAGUAUCAUUUUCUUGUAACAUUGAUAUUAUUAUAAAGAUUGCAAAUUGAAUGUGGGUAAAAGCCCGGUGUAAAAAGGUUAUGGGUUGAUCUUGUGAUAAAAACUUAAUCUGUUAGUGGAACUCCCAAAGAGAAAUCCUUAAGGACUAGAGUAGAUCGUGUGGUUUACGAUUGAACCAAUGUAAAUUUUGGUGUGCACUUUCCUUUGCCUUAUCUCUUUAUUUUCAUGUUAUUUACUUUUUUGCGCUUGAAUCUCUCCUUUAUCUCUUUUUAAAAAUUGAUCAAGUCAAAUCAAUUGUUUUUUGUUUUCUAAAAGUAUUCAAAAACCUUUAUUAGCAUAAUUCACCCCUCUUAUAUUUGAAGUAUCUUGGUCAACAAGUGGAUUAAAGCCUAAUUCUUAUUAUAAGACUAAUCAUCAUAGGAGGUAGGAUGAUUUCAAAUGAUUCAUUAAAAACCCCUCAUAUUUUUAUGGCGGGGAGUAUGCUUAUUGGAAAGAGAAAAUACAAAUCCUUAUAGAGGAGAUGGAUUGUGAUAUAUGGAUUGCUGUUAAAAAAGGUCCAUUUUCCCCACAUUAUGGCGGGGAGUAUGCUUAUUGGAAAGAGAAAAUACAAAUCCUUAUAGAGGAGAUGGAUUGUGAUAUAUGGAUUGCUGUUAAAAAAGGUCCAUUUUCCCCACACAACAAGUUAAUGAUGUUAUGGAAAACAAAUUUAGAGAUCUUUGAACCAAAGAACAUAACGGAAAGGUGUAGUACAAUUUGAAAGCUAAAACUAUUACCACUAAUGCUC